GACGAACGCUGGCGGCGUGCUUAACACAUGCAAGUCGAGCGGUAAGGCCCUUUCGGGGGUACACGAGCGGCGAACGGGUGAGUAACACGUGGGUGACCUGCCCUCAGCUCUGGGAUAAGCCUGGGAAACCGGGUCUAAUACUGGAUAUGACUCCAUGACGCAUGUUGUGGGGUGGAAAGCCUUGUGCGGCUGAGGAUGGGCCCGCGGCCUAUCAGCUUGUUGGUGGGGUGAUGGCCUACCAAGGCGACGACGGGUAGCCGGCCUGAGAGGCGACCGGCCACACUGGGACUGAGACACGGCCCAGACUCCUACGGGAGGCAGCAGUGGGGAAUCUUGCGCAAUGGGCGAAAGCCUGACGCAGCGACGCCGCGUGAGGGAUGACGGCCU
rnacentral:rRNA from 1 species